rnacentral:tmRNA from 1 species
GGGGAUGCUUUGGAUUUGAUAGGAGGAUUUCAUAUGUUUCGACAGCCACUGUUCGACGAACGUACCGAGGUUAAAUAAUCGUUCACCAAAAAUGCAACUAAGAAUCUCAAAAGAGCUUUCGCUCUCGUUCCUGCGUACGCGUAGGCAACGUUCUUAACCCCAAGCACAGACACCUACUAUGUCUUGGGUCGCUUAAGUAGGUAACCGUUCGCUUCGGCGGACAACGUUGUUAUGGUAAAAACCUACGCCUGUUUAUUGGCUACCGUAUCCUGACAUAAUAACGUUAAAAAUCUGGAUAAUUAAUAAACUAUCGUGGUAGAUAUCGUUAUGUAUGCCUUUUAGACAUGGGUUCGAACCCCAUCAUCUCCAAAU